rnacentral:lncRNA from 1 species
AGUCAAACUAUAACACACUUAAGGUGAACUGUCGAUGCACCUUAGGUCAAAGAACUAGACACACAACUGCAGCAUCGAGCUAGUCAUCGACGAGAAGGUAGACUUCCUUAUGACUGCUCGAUAUGGUCACGCUCAGUACUCUCGUUCUCAACGAAUACCUAUACUCUCGCUCCGGUGUCUCCACACCGUAGACUCAAGACACAUCUACCCUAAGAAAGC